ensembl:lncRNA
UGACAUUUGAGCUGGGUCUUCAGAUAGGAAUUUUCCAGGCAGAAGAGGGGGGAAACCACAUUGCACAAAGAAGGAGAGUUUGUGUGUGGAGGAUGGAGGGGUGAAAACAGAGAGCCCUUGAUGAAUGGCCUGUGGCUUCAGGUGAUCUUCCCAACCCAGGAAUCAAACCCAGGUCUCCCGCAUUGCAGGCUGAUUCUUUACCAGGUGAGCCACGAUGGAAGCCCAAGAUACUGGAGUGGGUAGCCUACCCCUUCUCCAGCAGAUCUUCCCGACCCAGGAAUUGGACAGGGGUCUCCUGCAUUGCAGGCAGAUUCUUUACCAGCUGAGCAACUAAGAUAAGCUCACAGUUUCAUGGGACAUUUGUGCAGAUGAAAUUGAUCAGCAGGAGGAGGAAAAUAGCCGUCACCUAGGCAACCAGCUGAUGACUCAUCCUGGCAUUGAAGCAGCAAAAGCCUGAGACUGCAGUAAUUUUCCAGAUGCUUAACCUGCCCUCCUCUUUCUCUCUCUUUGUUUCCCACUCCCCAUCCUUCACAUCUUCCUCUAUACCCACUUACCUGGGUUCUUCCAAAACUUGACACAGCUCCUUUGUGGGGUCUACCUGAGUCCUGAGCUCUCUGGAGCAGUUAUGCAGACCCCACCCCUCCAGUAAUUUGUGGGUGGCUUAAUUUGCUGCUGCUCCUUGUCUCUAGCAACGAGGAAAUGGCCAGGCUGCAAUAGUCUGAUGCCACAGAGCCCCCAAGAUGUGGCUUGCUGCCCUUGAUUAGAAAAGCCUAGAGGGAGUCUAGCAUUUUUUCCCUUCUAAUCUAAGCUAACCUGAGCUCAUCCAUUUAUCUCAGAGAGCCGCAGUGUAUUCUUUUGUGGAAGAGCAGCUAUACCUUGGACCUCCCAAGCGAAAUUGUGAAAACGACGUUUAAAGGUGACAACACUCAUCUUUGACAGCUUCUCUCCCUGCAGGGUUUUCCUAUCCUCUUUUCCUACCUUUCUCCACUCAUAACCUAGUGUCUGAUGUUUCAGCUCCUUCUUAAUUAUCCAUCAUAAUCCUCUCUAAAACACAAUGUGAUAGAAGCUUAAACCAUUCCCUGUCCCAAAGCAUUCUCAUUUUAAUAAGGGUUUUCAAAGUCAAACUAUUUCAAGACCCAGAGAGUAAAAUAAACUAUUAGCCUUUCAGAUACAGAUAUAGGCACUGGGGCUUGGAUAGUGGGCUAUGAGAGGGUCUUUCUCUGCACAUCUUAUGUGUAUCACCUAUGUUGCUGUUGAUUCUCACUUAAAGCAUUUUCUAUGUUCGGUAUAGGUUGCCUUAAUUCUGUUUCCCAUGCAAUCCAUACAUAUGCAUUCCAUUUACACAUGUGCACACAACACACACACAUACCACCUUGAGCAACAGCAAUAGCUGGUGAAGAAACAACACCAAACCCUCAAUGAUGAUUGGUCUACUCACUUUUAUUUACUUUAUGUAUGUCAAGCAUUUACCAUGCAGGACAUGGUAGUGGGCAGUGCAAUUGUGGUGUCCUGUUGUUUAGUUGCUCAGCUGUGUCCGACCCUUUUGUGACCCUAUGUACUGUAACCAGGCAGGCUCCUCUAUCCAUGGGAUUUCUUAGGCAAGAAUACAUGAGUGGGACCAUUUCUUCCUUCAGGGGAUCUUCCCAAACCAGGGAUCAAACCCUGGUCUCCUGCACUAACAGGUCGAUUUUUUACCACUGAGCCACCAGGAAAACCCUGAUUGGGGUUGUCCACAUCUUUCAAAAUAGCUUAUGGUCAGCAGAGGUAUGAUCGCCAUUGGGGAAGUGAGAUAUGAGACUGUAACAUAGGGGACUCUGGGCCAGAUGGGGUGGGAGGUAGGACCAGGGAAGUCCAGGAAUGACUUCCCUGGGAAAGUGAUGCAGGGGUCAGAGUCAGGCUAGCUGGGUCUACAAGGUGAUAGUGGAGAGAGGGAAGAGCAUUUUAGACAGAGGGAAUAGACUGUGUAAGAAAGCACCUUGGGAUGAGAGGGACCAGGCCAGGUCUGAGAAAG